rnacentral:rRNA from 1 species
UACGUAGGGCGCAAGCGUUGUCCGGAAUUAUUGGGCGUAAAGAGCUCGUAGGCGGCCUGUUGCGUCCGCUGUGAAAUCCCGGGGCUUAACCCCGGGCGUGCAGUGGAUACGGGCAGGCUGGAGGCAGGCAGGGGAGAACGGAAUUCCCGGUGUAGCGGUGAAAUGCGUAGAUAUCGUCUGGAACGCCGAAGGUGAAAACAGCUCGCUGGGGCUGCGCUGACGCUGAGACACGAAAGCCAGGGGAGCGAACGGG